rnacentral:lncRNA from 1 species
GAUUUUCUGAUAUGAGACAGCAAAAUAUGAAAACCGGUCCAGAAUCAGAAUCAUAAAAUUGUUAAUCCUAAAAUAGUUAUAAAAGGCAUUACAGUAGUGUUUUGAAGUAUAUGGUAUACAAAUUAAAAAAAAUAUUUGUCAUGAUAUUAAUUAAGUGGAAACAAUAAAAAAAUCUAUUUUUUUUUUAAUAAAUUCCUGUGCUCGAGCGCUUGAGUUUAAGCUGAGACUACUAUAAC